rnacentral:sRNA from 1 species
GUGACUUGCUGAGUCCAGAUAACACUGACUGUCAGAGAGAAACAUGAACCAGAAGCUACUGAAGUUGGAGAACUUGCUACGAUUUCACACUAUUUAUAGGCAACUGCACAGUCUGUGUCAAAGAAGAGCAUUAAGACAGUGGAGGCAUGGGUUUUCAUCUGCUUACCCUGUGUGGACAGCUCAACUGUAUGCCUGGCCCUGGCCAACAGAUGUACUCACUGGGGCUGCUUUAUCUCAGUAUAGGCUUCUAGUAACAAAAAAGGAAGAAGGACCAUGGAAAUCUCAGUUAUCUUCAACAAAAUCUAAAAAGGUGGUAGAAGUAUGGAUUGGAAUGACUAUUGAGGAACUGGCCAGGGCAAUGGAAAAAAACACAGAUUAUGUAUAUGAAGCUUUAUUGAACACUGAUAUUGACAUAGAUUCACUGGAAGCAGACUCACAUUUAGAUGAAGUCUGGAUCAAAGAAGUGAUAACGAAGGCAGGGAUGAAGUUAAAGUGGAGUAAAUUAAAACAGGACAAAGUCAGAAAAAAUAAAGAUGCUGUAAGAAGUCUCUCUGCCUUCUGGGGAAAAGAUAACUUUUCUUGAUACUCCAGGACAUGCUGCUUUCUCAGCAAUGAGAGCCAGAGGUGCUCAGGUCACUGACAUUGUCAUAUUGGUUGU